ACUAAAAGUCGUAACAAGGUAACCGUAGGUGAACCUGCGGUUGGAUCAUUAACAAAAUGAUAAAAGCUCCUCUUGGAAACAAGGGGACUUUUAUAAACACCUGUGAACUGUUAUUUGUAUCUGGUGGGUGUCAAAGCCCACCAUCAAUAAUUUGAACUUUAAUAAUCUUGAACUAGUUUUUAAUUAAUAAUUAAUUCUAAACAACUUUUGACAACGGAUCUCUAGGCUCUC
rnacentral:misc_RNA from 1 species